UACGUAGGUGACGAGCGUUAUCCGGAUUUACUGGGCGUAAAGCGCUUGUAGGUGGCUUUGUAAGUUGGGCGUGAAAACUCUGGGCUUAACCCAGAGACGCCGUCCAAUACUGCGAGGCUCGAGGAUGUGAGAGGAAGGUGGAAUUCCUGGUGUAGUGGUGAAAUGCGUAGAUAUCAGGAGGAACACCCGUGGCGAAGGCGGCCUUCUGGGGCAUUCCUGACACUGAGAAGCGAAAGCUAGGGGAGCAAACAGG
rnacentral:rRNA from 1 species